rnacentral:sRNA from 1 species
GAAAUCAUUUUAGAGAACAUAAACGUUGAACAUAAUGAAAACAUGAUAACAACAGUGUAAUAGCAAAAUGAUAACAGGAUGAACAACAGUAAACGAAAUCAAAAACAAAAGCUGAAUACUGAAUAGAUUAAGAGAAAUCCGGAUUACAAAAUGUCAAGAACACAGUGUCUGCGGAAUAAAACUUAGAUAAACGAAAAUGUAAAGUACAUGCUACUUAUAGCGAAAUAUUUCCGAAACCCUAAUACUCAAAACGACGCAGUAUUGGGACGGAUUAAAAACGGUACUUGACCCAGGUGGUCGAGUGAGUGGUGGAGUGAUAAGCUGGAGUCUUCUUUUCUUCCUUGUUCUCGAGUGUCUGGUUGAGUGCGCAAUGGAGAAGACUCUGAAGCUGGCCAUCGAGUAUGUAGUCGAGUGAUGGUGAUGGUGAUACUCGACUUCCU